UUUAAAGUCUAAUCUGCCCUAUGAGGAGUUAAAUGGCCGCAGUAUUUUGACUGUGCGAAGGUAGCAUAAUAAUUAGUUUUUUAAUUGAAAGCUGGAAUGAAUGAUUGGACGAGAAAAAAUCUGUCUCAAUUUUAUUUAAUUAGAAUUUUAUUUUUAAGGAAAAAAGCUUAAAUAUUUUUAAAAGACGAGAAGACCCUAUAGAGUUUUAUACAUUUAUUUUUAUUUAUUUUUUGGUAUUAUAGGAUUUAUAUAAAAAAAUAGUAUUUAGUUGGGGUGAUUAAAAAAUUAAUUAAACUUUUUUUUUAUAAUGACAUUAAUAUAUGAUUAAUUGAUCCAUUUUUUAUGAUUAUAAGAUUAAAUUACCUUAGGGAUAACAGCGUUAUUUUUUUUUAGAGUUCUUAUCGAAAAAAAA
rnacentral:rRNA from 1 species